UAAGGAAUAUUGCGCAAUGGGCGAAAGCCUGACGCAGCGACGCCGCGUGGGGGAUGAAGGUCUUCGGAUUGUAAACCCCUUUCGGGAGGGAAGAUGGAAUGGGGUAACCCAUUCGGACGGUACCUCCAGAAGCAGCCACGGCUAACUUCGUGCCAGCAGCCGCGGUAAUACGAAGGUGGCAAGCGUUAUUCGGAUUUACUGGGCGUACAGGGAGCGUAGGCGGUUUGGUAAGCCCUCUGUGAAAUCUCCAGGCUUAACCUGGAAAAGUCGGAGGGGACUGCUGGGCUAGAGGACGGGAGAGGAGCGCGGAAUUCCCGGUGUAGCGGUGAAAUGCGUAGAGAUCGGGAGGAAGGCCGGUGGCGAAGGCGGCGCUCUGGAACGUUUCUGACGCUGAGGCUCGAAAGCGUGGGGAGCAAACAGG
rnacentral:rRNA from 1 species